rnacentral:rRNA from 1 species
AUGGAUUCGAAGGCUCUCCUCUGCUGCACUGUAGCUCUGAUCGUUUUGUUUCUGCCGUUGAGUGCUUCCGACGACCGGCUUGUCCCUGGCAAGCCGCUGUCUCCCGGCAACAUCAUCGUCUCCGAUGGCGGCACCUUCGCGUUGGGCUUCUUCAUCCCCUCCAACUCCACUCCAUCCAAGGUUUACCUUGGCAUAUGGUACAACGACAUCCCUGAGUUCACGGUUGUGUGGGUUGCUAACCGUGAAACCCCAGGCACCAACAACACUUCCUCUGCACCGAUGCUCUCCCUCACCAACACCUCAAAUUUCAUCAUCUCCGAAGGUAAUAGUGGUGGCCGUGUCCUUUGGACGACGGCCAACAUGACCACUACCAUUGGCUCAUCUACCCCAACAGCGGUGCUUCUGAACACCGGCAACCUCGUCAUCCGGUCGGCAAACGGUACCACGGUGUGGCAGAGCUUCGACCACCCCACGGACACGCUCCUCCCUGGGAUGAAAAUGCGGAUCAAAUACAGCUCGCCCGACACUCGCGAUCAUCUAGUAUCCUGGAAGGGCCCCGGCGACCCUUCGCCGGGGCGCUUCUCCUUCGGUGGCGACCCAGACACACCCCUCCAAGUAUUCCUGCGAGACGGGGAGAGCUUGGUGACUCGUAGCAACCCAUGGACAGGGAUCCAAGUGGUUAGCUUUAGCCAACAACAGCUAGUAGGGGCAACGAACGUCAGUGAUGUUAUCAUCUACAUGGCCAUCGUCGACAACGGUGAUGAGAUCUAUUCCACAUAUAGCCUCUCUGAUGGCGCCCCGCCCACAAGGUCAGUGUUGAGCUAUUCUGGUCAGGUUCACAUUGAGAUCUGGAGUAGCAGGUUGUCGGUGUGGGUUGUCGUUUCGAUGUGGUCUGCUGAUUGCAACCGCUAUGCUUACUGUGGCCCAUAUGGCUACUGCGACGAGACAGUCGUGCCUAUCCCAACUUGCAAGUGCCUAGAUGGCUUCGAGCCAGCAAACAAGGAGGAGUGGACUAGAGGCAAGUUCUUGGCGGGGUGCCGGCGGAAGGAGCUGUUGCACGGGUGCACAAGUAGUUACGUGGCCAUGUUGGGGAUGAAGUCACCAGAUAAAUUUGCGCUCGUCAGAGGGGGCAAAAGUAAGCCUGAGGAGUGUGUGGCGGAGUGCAACCGCAACUGCUCCUGUGUGGGGUAUGUGCAUCGCAACGUCAGUAGUGGCAGUUUCGGAGGAGCCACGACAAUGUGCUUGCUAUGGGCUGGGGAUUUGAUUGACACUGGAAAAUUACGUGAGCCCGGUGGAGAGACGCUCUAUCUCCGACUUGCAGGUAAAAGGCGAAAAAUCAAUGCAGUUAGGAUUAUGCUGCCAGUUCUAAGCAGUAGUGUUCUCAUACUCGUAUGCAUCUCUCUUGCAUGUUUAAAAUGCAAAGGCAAGAACAAAAAUUGGAGAAAGCACAAGAAUAUAAUAUUGGAUGGUCUAAGUACGUCCGAAGAACAUGGCGGAAAAGGCCCUCCUCAUGAUGAAGAUUUUCUGUUCGUAAGAUUAGAAGAAAUUGUUCUUGCGACCAACAGUUUCUCUGAAGCAUGUAAGAUUGGACAUGGAGGAUUUGGCAAAGUUUACAAGGGGCUAUUAGGUGGUCAAGAAGUCGCAAUCAAGAGGCUAAGUAGAGAUUCUCAACAAGGAACAACAGAAUUCAGGAACGAAGUAAUUCUAAUUGCAAAAUUGCAACAUAGAAACUUGGUUCGACUUCUUGGGUGUUGUGACGAAGGAGAUGAAAAGCUCUUGAUAUAUGAGUAUCUUCCUAACAAGAGCUUAGAUGCUACCCUUUUUGAUGACUCAAGAAAAUUGUUGUUGGAUUGGGCAACACGGUUCAGUGUAAUCAAAGGGGUUGCAAGGGGGCUUCUAUAUCUUCAUGAAGACUCAAGGUUCACCAUAAUUCAUAGGGACCUAAAAGCUGGAAAUAUUUUGCUAGAUGCAUAUAUGAAACCCAAGAUAGCAGAUUUUGGUAUGGCGAGGAUCAUUGGUGAUAACCAGCAAAACGCAAAUACCCAACGUGUAGUUGGAACAUAUGGCUACAUGGCUCCUGAGUAUGCAAUGGAAGGUUUCUUCUCUACCAAGUCUGAUGUCUAUAGCUUUGGCGUGUUACUACUGGAGGUUGUAACUGGUAUAAGGAGAAACUCCAAUAGUCAAACCAUGGGAUUCCCUAGCCUCACUGUAUAUUCAUGGAAUAUGUGGAACGAAGAGAAGACCGAGGAAUUGCCAGACUCAUCUAUCGAAAAUACUUCACCAGAAGAAGUUUUGCUUUGUGUCCAUCUUGCACUCUUGUGUGUCCAAGAGAACCCAGACGACAGGCCGCUAAUGUCAUCAGUUGUGUUUGUCCUAGAGAAUGGAAGCACCACACUUGCAACCCCCAAUCGCCCUGCCUAUUUUUCACGGCGGAAUGUUGAAGUGGAUGAAUUAAGAAAUGAUAUCCACACUUGCGUGAAUAGUUUGACUCUUAGCGAGAUAGAUGGCCGGUGA